rnacentral:rRNA from 1 species
AGAGUUUGAUCAUGGCUCAGAUUGAACGCUGGCGGCAGGCCUAACACAUGCAAGUCGAGCGGAUGACAGGAGCUUGCUCCUGGAUUCAGCGGCGUACGGGUGAGUAAUGCCUAGGAAUCUGCCUGGUAGUGGGGGACAACGUUUCGAAAGGAACGCUAAUACCGCAUACGUCCUACGGGAGAAAGCAGGGGACCUUCGGGCCUUGCGCUAUCAGAUGAGCCUAGGUCGGAUUAGCUUGUUGGUGAGGUAAUGGCUCACCAAGGCGACGAUCCGUAACUGGUCUGAGAGGAUGAUCAGUCACACUGGAACUGAGACACGGUCCAGACUCCUACGGGAGGCAGC